GGUUUCCAGAGCCAUGGGUUCCAGAGCCAUGGGUUCCAGAUCCAUGGGUUCCAGAUCCAUGGGUUCCAGAUCCAUGGGUUCCA